CAUCCUCUGAGCAUCCCCAUGCCCUCCUCUGGACUCCCUCCCACUUUUCCAGUAUGUCCAGGUCCCUCUGAAUGCUGUUCCCUCCAUCUAUUGUCUCAACUGCACCACUCAGCUAAGUGUCAUUUGUCAGCAGCUGAGGAGGCUCUCAAUUCUGCUGUGACAUUGAAAAUGCUGUUAUAGAGCACUGGUCCCAAGAUGGACCCCUGUUGUAAUGCGCUGGGACAGGGAGUGCGGGUCACCAUCCCUUUGUGGGAUGUGGCACCGAGAGACACGGGCAGUGGGCAUGGUGAGGAUGGGUUGGAAAUCUCAAAGGUCUCUUCCAGCCAUUACGAUACUCUGACACAACACGCCAUAACGGCUGUUUGCACACUGCAGGAGUACGCAGGAGCUAAAAGAAUUCAGCCUUCCCCUGCUCCUCAGCCCCCACAGCGCGGACAUCGCGACCUGGCGCCGCACGCCACCCUCCGCCCAUCGCCCACCCUCCGCGAACCGAUUGGUUUUCUGCCUCUCUUCUCGCUAGCUGAUUGGUCUUCUUCUCUCCCUCUUCGGAAACUGAUUGGUCCUCCACUUCGUCCAUCAAACCGGCGAGGCGCCAUGUUGAGCGUGGCUGCGCGGUUCCCGCCUCGUGGCGGCCAUGUUAGCCGCAGCGCUGUGAGGGCUGUGAGGACGGUGGGCGGUUGGCGGAGCUCAGCGCUGACUGAUCCAGUUUUAGGAGCAAUCAGCCGGUAUAACGCUGACCCUGCCGACUGUAGGAUCGGUGCAGGGACCCGGCAGGGGCUCAUCAUCCCCACGCUCCAGCUGGAGCCUGAGAAAAGGGCAUGGGUCCAAUCCCAGCCUAAGAGGAACUGAGAGAAACGGUGCUAAAGCUGCCCUGCUGCAUGGCCCGAGCACUACAAGUGGUAUUUGUUAUGUGUAUAAGUGGUUGCAGAGGCAGGACUGGACCUUACCCCUUAGCAAACAUCCACGUCGCUGUUCUGGGGUCAGCUGAGUUUGUGCUGCCGGUGGCCUUGGAAACGAGGGAAGGUUUCAGGAUGAGGCAACCAGGCCCUGCUGCAGGCAGGCGUUCAGCUUGUGGGAAAAAUGAACACAAACUCUGUUGUGGUGGGGGUUUUUUGUUUGUUUUGUUUUGUUUUUGGCUGGCUGCUCUGCUGAGGAAGGGGUAAAUCCUUGUUGCCAGCACUCUGACAACACUUUGUAUUUCUGUAGCUGCUUCUUAAAGUAAUUUAAAUGGAAACGCUGUAGGAAUGAUGGACUGGAUGAUGGAGCUACAAGAUAUGGAUCAUCAGCGUUCAUUGAUAUGGCAAGCCUCUCCACUGCUGACCAGACUCGUACAUUUGCCUCCUGCUUUGAGAUCCACCCUGUCAGCCCCUGUAUUGCCUUUCCAAGUGAGUGGAGCUUCUGAUACACUCCUGAUACUCUGGAUCUGCAUCUCCAUUGCAAUCUAAUGCAUGAAGGGAAGACAAGAAAGGUGAGAGAACGAGGUCCGUACAAAAACAGAGCCCAGAUGGGCUCUGUACUCCAAGUGAGGCUAUUGUCACCUCCACCUUGUCAGCCUUGGGUGGGAUCUGCACCAUCUUUGCCUCCAACCUCCAUGCCUUGCAAGGAUGCAGGCUCCCGGAUCUGAGCUGUGUUUUUGUGGCACUUCCUGGACACAACAGAGCUGCUGAUGUGGAACAGAUAUUGUGCUGCCCUUUGAUCUCACCUCUGGAGCCACAGGUGUGGCCACCUUGGCAAUUACAGCCAUUGGAUGACUCCAAGUGCUUUGAGCAAGGAGCACUGGUGGAGUUUGAGCUGGGUUCAGUCCGGCACUCCUUCAGGGAAGGCUGUUUUUCCUUUUGUGAACUCUGAAGCCAGACCACACAAAAAGUCAGUGUCAGUCUUGUUUAUAAGCUCCCUUCAAGUACUGAAAGGUCUCACUGGAGUCCCUUCUUCAGGCUGAACAAGCCCAGAUCCCUCAGCUUUUCUUUGCAGGAGAGGUGCUCGGCUUUCUGAGCAUCUUUGUAUCAACUGCACCACUCAGCUUGGUGCCAUCAGCAAACUUGCUGAGGCUAUGCUCGAUCUCACUGUCUGUGCCAUCGAUAAAGAUGCUGAAGAGUCCCAAGAGAGACCCUUGGGAGACAGCUCUCAUCACUGCCUCCACUGGGACGCGGAGCCAUUGACCACAGCCCUCUGGCUGCAGCUGUCCAACCAGUUGUUUUCUAUCCAGUAGUUCAGCCUUCACAUCUCUCCAACUGAGAGAUAAGGAUGUGUC